rnacentral:rRNA from 1 species
CCUACGGGGGGCAGCAGUGGGGGAUAUUGCACAAUGGGGGGAACCCUGAUGCAGCGACGCCGCGUGGGUGAAGAAGCGCCUCGGCGCGUAAAGCCCUAUCAGCAGGGAAGAAAAUGACGGUACCUGAAGAAGAAGCCCCGGCUAACUACGUGCCAGCAGCCGCGGUAAUACGUAGGGGGCAAGCGUUAUCCGGAUUUACUGGGUGUAAAGGGGGCGCAGACGGCGAUGCAAGCCAGGAGUGAAAGCCCGGGGCCCAACCCCGGGACUGCUCUUGGAACUGCGUGGCUAGAGUGCAGGAGGGGCAG